rnacentral:rRNA from 1 species
AGUAGUCAUAAAUCUUGUCUUCAAAGAUCUAAGCCGAUGCAUGUGGUAAGUAUGAACAAUUCAGACUGUGAAAACUGCGAAAUGGCUCAUUAAAUCAGUAUAGUUUGUAGGUAAUCUCUACUUCGAUAACCGUAGUAAUUCUAGAGCAAUACGUGCACAAACCCGACUUGCUGAAAGGAAUGCAUUUAUUAGAAUAAAAGGUCCGACGCGGGCUCUGCCCGUUGGCUCUGAUGAUUCAUGAUAACUCGACGGAAUCGCACGGCCCAUCGUGCCGGCGACGGCAUCAUUCAAUUUCUGCCCACAAACUCCGAUGGUAAGGAUGAGGCCUACAUGGUGUGACGGUGACGAGAAUUAGGGUUCGAUUGCCCGGAGAGGGAGCCGAGAAACGGCUACCACAUCCAAGGAAGGCAAAAGUCAGGCGGCAAAUUACCGCAAAUCCUUGACACAGGGGAGGUAUGACAAUUAAAUAACAAUACCGGGCUCUUCGAGUACUGGUAAAUUGGAAUGAAGUUACAAUCUAAAUCCCUAACGAGGAUCCCAUUGGAGGGCAAUGUCUGGUGCCCAGCACCAGCGGUAAUUCCAGCUCCAAUAGCGUAUAUUUAAGUUGUUGCAGUUAAAAAGCUCGUAGUUGACCUUGGGUUUUGUGGUCGACCGGUCCGCCUUCGCCGUGUGUCACCUGUCGGCUCUCGUCCCUUCUGCCGGCGAUGUCGCUCCUGGCCUUAACUGCCGGGUCGUGGCCUCCGCGCUGUUACUUUGAAGAAAAUUAGAGGUGCUCAAAGCAAGCCUACGCUCUGGAUACAUUAGUCAUGGAUAACAUCAUAUGGAUUUCGGUCCUAUGUGUUGGCUUCGGAUCGGAGUAAUGAUUAACAGGGACGAUCGGGGGCAUUCCGUAUUUCAUAGUGCAGAGGUGAAUUCUUGAAUUAUGAAAAGACCGAACAACUGCGAAAGCAUUUGCCAAGGAUGUUUCAUUAAUUCAAGAACUGAAAGUUGGGGCUCGAAUGACGAUGCAGGAUAACCGUCCUAGUCCUCAGAACCAUAAACGAUGCCAGACCAGGGAUCUGUCGAUGUUGCUUUUAGGACCUCCGCCGGCACCUUAUGAAAAUCCAAAGUCUUUGGGUCCGGGGAGUAUGGUCGCAAGGCUGAAAAUUAAAGGAAUGAACUGGAGAGGGCACCACCAGGAGUGGGAGCCCUGCGGCUUAAUUUGACUCAAACACGGGGAAACUUACCAGUCCAGACAUAGUAAGGAUUGACAAAGCUGAAGAGCUCUUUCUUGAUUCUAUGGGUGGGUGGUGCACUGGCCGUUCUUAGUUGGUUGGAGCGAUUUGUCUGUUAAUUCCGUUAACAGAACGAGACCUCAGCCUGCUACUGCUAUGCCGGAAGGUGACCCUCCGCGGCAGCUCUUAGAGGGACUAUUGGCCUUUUAGCCAAGGAAGUUUGAGGCAAUAACAAGGUCUGUGAUCCCUUAGAUGUUCUGUGGGCCGCACGCGCGCUUAUCACUGAUGUAAUUCACGAGUCUAUAGCCUUGCCGACAAGGUCCCGGGAAUUCUUUGAAAUUUCAUCGUGAUGGGGAUAGAUCAUUGGGCAAUUUUUGUUUGUCUUUCAACGAGGAAAAUUUCCUAGAAUGCGCGGAGUUCAUCAGCUCGGUUGACUACGUCCCGCCUUUUGUAAACAACCGCCCGUCCGUCCUACCGAUUGAAAUGGUCCGGUGAGUGUUCGAUCGCGGCGACGUGGGCGGUUUCGCCGGCCGCGACUGUCGCGAGAAGUCCACUGAACCUUAUCAUUUAGAGGAAGGGAGAAGUCGUGAACAAGGUUUCCUGGUAGGUGAACCUCGGAAGG